AUCCCCACCCCACCCCCCACUCUACCUCCGCCCCAACCCUCCUGGGUCUUCAGGAAAGAGAGGAGAUGGAACCCCAAAUAUGGGGGACCUGCUUCAGGCGUGCUAAUGUGGAGCCUCCCAGAGACUGCAAGUGGAAUGCACUGAUCCCAGAAACCAGAGGCUUUGGCUAGGAAGUCCUGCAGGAAGACCCAGCUCUUACCAGCUCUGAACUUGAAGAUGCUCGACAUCUCUGCACCUCAAUUUCCUCA